AUGGGGGGAUCAGGGAGCAUGCGUUUAGGAGUAAGGCCCUGUUUGGGGGAGCUUUUGGAGGGCCGAAAAGCACUUUCGAGCCCUCCAAAAGUAAUUUUAGAUAAAAAAUGAUGUUUGGUAAAAUUUUCGGAAAGCUGUUUCAGCUUUUAUGGAAAGCUGAAAACAGUUUUUGAAGAGAAGCUCUAAUUUGGAGCUUGUCGAAAACGGUGUUUUUAGCUUUGUCGGAAAGCUGUUUUUUGGACCAAAAUAUCUCCAUUUAAAUCACACUUUUUUCCCCAAAACACUCAUCCCGCCUCUUCCUCUCUCGCCCAUCCUCUCCCUCUCCCUCUCUAUCUUCUUCUUCCUCUCAA
rnacentral:lncRNA from 1 species